CAGCCGCGGUAAUACGUAGGUGGCGAGCGUUGUCCGGAAUUAUUGGGCGUAAAGGGAGCGCAGGCGGGAAAGGUAAGUCUAUCUUAAAAGUGCGGGGCUCAACCCCGUGAGGGGAUGGAAACUAUCUUUCUUGAGUGCAGGAGAGGAAAGCGGAAUUCCUAGUGUAGCGGUGAAAUGCGUAGAUAUUAGGAGGAACACCAGUGGCGAAGGCGGCUUUCUGGACUGUAACUGACGCUGAGGCUCGAAAGCGUGGGGAGCGA
rnacentral:rRNA from 1 species